UUUCUGAUAGCUCAAUUGGUUAGAGCGUUUGGUUGUUAACCUUAAAGUUACAAGUUCAAGUCUUGUUCAGAAAG
rnacentral:tRNA from 1 species